AGGUCUAACCUGCCCAAUGAGGAAUUAAAUGGCCGCAGUAUUUUGACUGUGCAAAGGUAGCAUAAUUAUUAGUUUUUUAAUUGAAAGCUUGUAUGAAGGGUUGGACGAGAUAAAAUCUGUCUUUAUUUAAAUUACAAUAGAAUUUAACUUUUAAGUCAAAAGGCUUAAAUGUAUAUAAAAGACGAGAAGACCCUAUAGAUCUUUAUUUAAUUAAUAUUUUGAUAAUUUAAGAUUAUUUUAGUUUAAAGUUUUAAUUAAAUUUUAUUGGGGUAAUAUAAAGAUUAAAUAAAUUCUUUUUAUUUAUUACAUUGAUUUAUGAAUAUAUGAUCCAAUAUUAUUGAUUAUAAGAUUAAGUUACCUUAGGGAUAACAGCGUAAUUUUUUUGGAGAGCUCAUAUCGAUAAAAAAGUUUGCGACCUCGAUGUUGGAUUAAAAAUUAGCUUGGGUGCAGAAGCUCAAGAUUUUGGUCUGUUCGACCAUUAAAUUUUUACAUGAUCUGAGUUCAGACCGGCGUAAGCCAGGUCGGUUUCUAUCUUUAUUUAUCUAAAAUAUUUUAGUACGAAAGGACCAAAUAUUUAAUAUAAUUAUAUUUAUUUUUUGAAUAAUAUU
rnacentral:rRNA from 2 species